rnacentral:rRNA from 1 species
GUGAGGAAUAUUGGUCAAUGGGCGCAAGCCUGAACCAGCCAUCCCGCGUGCAGGAAGACGGCGCUAUGCGUUGUAAACUGCUUUUCCAGGGAGAGAAACUUGCGCACGUGUUGCGCAAUUGACGGUACCCUGGGAAUAAGCAUCGGCUAACUCCGUGCCAGCAGCCGCGGUAAUACGGAGGAUGCGAGCGUUAUCCGGAUUCAUUGGGUUUAAAGGGUGCGUAGGCGGACUAUUAAGUAAGUGGUGAAAUCCUGCAGCUUAACUGCAGAGCUGCCAUUUAUACUGAUAGUCUUGAGUUUGGUUAAGGUAGGCGGAAUGUGUAAUGUAGCGGUGAAAUGCUUAGAUAUUACACAGAACACCAAUUGCGUAGGCAGCUUACUGAGCCGACACUGACGCUGAGGCACGAAAGCGUGGGGAUCGAACAGGAUUAGAAACCCCAGUAGUCC